rnacentral:rRNA from 1 species
UACGGGGGGGGCAAGCGUUGUUCGGAAUUACUGGGCGUAAAGGGCUCGUAGGCGGCCAACUAAGUCAGACGUGAAAUCCCUCGGCUUAACCGGGGAACUGCGUCUGAUACUGGAUGGCUGGAGGUUGGGAGAGGGAUGCGGAAUUCCAGGUGUAGCGGUGAAAUGCGUAGAUAUCGGGAGGAACACCUGUGGCGAAAGCGGCGCACUGGACCACAACUGACGCUGAGGCGCGAAAGCUAGGGGAGCAAACAGG